UCGAGCGCUCAUUCGGUUGCAGCAAUGUAGCCGAGUGGGAGCGGCGCAAGGGUGCGUAACACGUGGGUAAUUUGCCAAAAAGUUUGGGAUAACUCGCUGAAAGGCGAGCUAAUACCGGAUGUGAUCAUCGGGCGGCAUCGUUUGAUGAUUAAAGUUGGGGACCGUAAGGCCUGACGCUUUUUGAUAAGCCCGCGGCCUAUCAGCUAGUUGGUGAGGUAACGGCUCACCAAGGCUAAGACGGGUAGCUGGUCUGAGAGGACGACCAGCCACACUGGAACUGAGACACGGUCCAGACACCUACGGGUGGCAGCAGUCGAGAAUUUUCCACAAUGGGCGAAAGCCUGAUGGAGCGACGCCGCGUGGGGGAUGAAUGGCUUCGGCCCGUAAACCCCUGUCAUUUGCGAACAAACCUUGCUAUUUAAAAGAUGGCGAGCUGAUUGUAGCGAAAGAGGAAGGGACGGCUAACUCUGUGCCAGCAGCCGCGGUAAUACAGAGGUCCCAAGCGUUG
rnacentral:rRNA from 1 species